UCUUUAUCCAGAGAGGCGGAGGACUUGGCCCUAUGAAACCUCGGCAACAAACCCGCAUGCGAGCACUGUGCCACUUCCAUCAAGCAGGCGCUUGAAAGAUAAGAA
rnacentral:ncRNA from 1 species